rnacentral:rRNA from 1 species
GGCGGACGGGUGAGUAACGCGUAGGAAUCUACCUAAUAGUGGGGGAUAGCCCAGGGAAACUUGGAUUAAUACCGCAUACGCCCUAAGGGGGAAAGCGGGGGAUCUUCGGACCUCGUGCUAUUAGAUGAGCCUGCGUAAGAUUAGCUAGUUGGUGAGGUAAGAGCUCACCAAGGCGACGAUCUUUAGCUGGUCUGAGAGGAUGAUCAGCCACACUGGGACUGAGACACGGCCCAGACUCCUACGGGAGGCAGCAGUGGGGAAUAUUGGACAAUGGGGGCAACCCUGAUCCAGCCAUGCCGCGUGUGUGAAGAAGGCCUUCGGGUUGUAAAGCACUUUCAGAUGUGAGGAAAGGUUGCAGAUUAAUACUCUGUAGCUGUGACGUUAACAUCAGAAGAAGGACCGGCUAACUCCGUGCCAGCAGCCGCGGUAAUACGGAGGGUCCGAGCGUUAAUCGGAAUUACUGGGCGUAAAGCGCGC